AUGAAACUGUUGUCACAAGACCACAAAAAGUACAUCAUAUCAGAAACCAGUCUUGGCGGUCUAACCCAGAUGCAUGAAGUGACUCUACGGCGCAUAAUGUUGGUUAGACUAGCCAAGAGCAUAGAUAUGGACACGCAAUCCAUUACCAUCGGUAAAAUGCCAAUUCCUAUAACAAAAGAGGACGUGCAAGGUAUAUUUGGCAUUCCGAUAGAAGGGGAGGAUAUAGAACUACAUCUGGAAAUGCAAACCGACACAGGAUUGUUUACCGCCUAUGCAAACAAUGGGCAAAUUUUGAUUUCUGACCUUGAAACGGUGAUCCGAGCUUCCAAAGCCCCAGACGGCGAUUUCCUGAGACGGUUCAUUCUGUACGCAAUUGGUACUGUUCUAGCACCAAUAGCACAACAUUAUGUGGACUCGAAAUUUCUCAACCUUGUUACAGAUCUUGAAAACCUUCGGAAAUUUAACUGGGGAUGUUUCACACUUAAUCACUUCUUCAAGUCCGUUCACAAGUUUAGAAAUCGAGAUCACGUAAAUCUACAAGGAAAUCUAAUUCUGCUCCAGUAUUGGUACUGGGAGCACGUGCGUAGUGGCCGAUUAAUGUAUGCUUCUAGACCCCCUCCAUUGAUCGCACGA
rnacentral:rRNA from 1 species